rnacentral:snRNA from 1 species
UUGCUCACUUCGGCAGCACAUAUACUAAAAUUGAAACGAUACAGAGAUUUUUUUUUUGGCCCCUGUGCCAGGAUGACACGCAAAUUCGUGAAACAUUCCAUAUUUUU